GAUGAACGCUGGCGGCGUGCCUAAUACAUGCAAGUCGAGCGAACAGACGAGGAGCUUGCUCCUCUGACGUUAGCGGCGGACGGGUGAGUAACACGUGGAUAACCUACCUAUAAGACUGGGAUAACUUCGGGAAACCGGAGCUAAUACCGGAUAAUAUAUUGAACCGCAUGGUUCAAUAGUGAAAGACGGUUUUGCUGUCACUUAUAGAUGGAUCCGCGCCGCAUUAGCUAGUUGGUAAGGUAACGGCUUACCAAGGCAACGAUGCGUAGCCGACCUGAGAGGGUGAUCGGCCACACUGGAACUGAGACACGGUCCAGACUACUACGGGAGGCAGCAGUAGGGAAUCUUCCGCAAUGGGCGAAAGCCUGACGGAGCAACGCCGAGUGAGUGAUGAAGGUCUUCGGAUCGUAAAACUCUGUUAUUAGGGAAGAACAAAUGUGUAAGUAACUAUGCACGUCUUGACGGUACCUAAUCAGAAAGCCACGGCUAACUACGUG
rnacentral:rRNA from 1 species